ensembl:lncRNA
AAAAAAAUUACACAAUAAUAAUUUCAGGUCAGACACUCUGAGCAGGUCACAUGUGUGCCACAGGGCUACUUAAUUCAAUACAAGAUAGAAAAAUAAAAUUACCUUUAGACCACAUAAUUCUGAAUGGUAAUUAUAAAAUUAUCCCAUAAUUAUUCUACUUUGAAAAUGUCCUCUUUUUUUUUUUGCGAUUCCCUCUGGCGAUCAUUUACUCUGGCUAUAAAUAACUCUAAAUACCAUUUCUCUUAAUCAUUGCGGGGGCAAUGGCUUAAUGUCUUACAACAAAUAGAUGCUGUAAGCCUCUGAAAAUUCAAGGCUAUUUUUAGCUCAGAAAACCUGCUUUUAUUGCAGAGUGUUGAAAGCUUCUGUCAGAAAGUAAAACAUAGUGCUAAUAACAUGCGUGCUCUCCACCCAGCCUAUCAGUGACGUUACACAGGAGAAGAAGCGUCGAAGGCGGUGAUUGACAGCACCGUUAAAACUGCACACGCAGAUCUCUCAAUGAACAGAGAAAUGUUUUCGUUGUGGGCUUCUCUCAUUGUUUUACUUUCUCUCUGGCUCUUUUUGAAUCUUGUAGAGCUGAUGCAAAUCUUUCACCAGGAAAAUUAGUGGUGAGAGAGAUUGGGAAAAGGAGACUGCAGGUCAGACUUUGGUGCAGAAAGACACAGAAAGCAGUUCUAGUGAUAAAGGAGUCUCUAUUUUAGGGUGGGAUACACACACAGAAACAAACAGACAGGAUACAUAGAUGAUAAAUAGAUGAUUUGGUGCUGUCUGUGACAGUAGGGUCACAGACAGUACCAAAGCGUCACCUCAUCCUGGUGUUCUACUUUCUCAUCUCACAUAACCUUCUCCCAUCAUAUCAUGUCAUCACCUCUUGUCUUCCCUGCUUUCUCCAAUUUUUUCAUCAUGUCUCUUACAUUUCUCUUCUUUAGUUGUCUGUUUUUACCACUAGUUUCUUUCCUUUCCCUGUCUCAUGUCUCAUUCCACAUCCUUUCUCAUCUUCUCUGCUCCUGUGCUCUUGCUAUGCUUUUUUUCCCUUUCUUUUCUAUUCUUUUCUUUUCCUGCCUUUCCUCUCCUCUCCUUCUGCUGAUACUCCCAGGCUUCAGCUCUUUCAGAUCGACGUCACAGAUAAAGAGAUGAAAGCUUCCAGCCGCAGAGCAGCAAAAGGCAAACUUCUUCAUGUGGUUCUGACCAAGACCCUGGGAACUGUUGUUCUUUCAGCACUGGCUCCAUAAGACAGAUUGACCUCCCCUUCAUAUCCUCUAUUUGUAGGCGGGUGCUUGUGUGUUUGAGUGGGAGAUUUGAUACUAAGCUUUGAUGCAGCAGAGGGCUGACACAGCAGAACAACAUAGUGGGAGUUGAGAAAUUAUCCUCACCUCAAAGAGGCACCAUGAGGACAGCAGGAGGUGAUGUCAGUGGGAGAG